UUGCAGUGAUGAGCAUCCACUUCAUGGCCGUGUUUUUGAAUCUCUGAUAUUAAAGAAAAUCUGAGUUC